rnacentral:rRNA from 1 species
AUGCUGCAACUUCACGGGGGAGCGGAUCACGCUGCAGCUCGAAGGCACUACGGCUUAAACUGCAUCUCGGCGGCCCGACAGCUCGAAGGCGCAGCACCACAGCUGCUCCAUCUGCAUCUGGGCAGCCUGGCAGCUCCCGCUACAGCUCGGAGCUGCGAAAUCUGCAGAUGGCGCCGCUGUCACUCGUAUCAGCGAGCCAAAUCCUCACGGUUGCUGUUGUCGCUCCCUGCCGAAGGUGGCGACUGUUCUGGCAGCCUGGCACUCCCUGAAGCUGGUGACUUUCCAUGGCUCCAGCAAGCCCACGACAGUCGCCGUUGCCGCUCAGCACGAGGGGCAUCAUGA